GACGGAGGGGGCAAGCGUUGUCCGGAUUUAUUGGGCGUAAAGAGCUCGUAGGCGGCUUGUCGCGUCGUCCGUGAAAACCCACAGCUCAACUGUGGGCUUGCGGUCGAUACGGGCAGGCUAGAGUUCGGUAGGGGAGACUGGAAUUCCUGGUGUAGCGGUGAAAUGCGCAGAUAUCAGGAGGAACACCGGUGGCGAAGGCGGGUCUCUGGGCCGAUACUGACGCUGAGGAGCGAAAGCGUGGGGAGCGAACAGG
rnacentral:rRNA from 1 species